rnacentral:rRNA from 1 species
AGAGUUUGAUCAUGGCUCAGAUUGAACGCUGGCGGCAGGCCUAACACAUGCAAGUCGAACGGUAACAGGAAGCAGCUUGCUGCUUCGCUGACGAGUGGCGGACGGGUGAGUAAUGUCUGGGAAACUGCCUGAUGGAGGGGGAUAACUACUGGAAACGGUAGCUAAUACCGCAUAACGUCGCAAGACCAAAGAGGGGGACCUUCGGGCCUCUUGCCAUCGGAUGUGCCCAGAUGGGAUUAGCUUGUUGGUGGGGUAACGGCUCACCAAGGCGACGAUCCCUAGCUGGUCUGAGAGGAUGACCAGCCACACUGGAACUGAGACACGGUCCAGACUCCUACGGGAGGCAGCAGUGGGGAAUAUUGCACAAUGGGCGCAAGCCUGAUGCAGCCAUGCCGCGUGUAUGAAGAAGGCCUUCGGGUUGUAAAGUACUUUCAGCGGGGAGGAAGGGAGUAAAGUUAAUACCUUUGCUCAUUGACGUUACCCGCAGAAGAAGCACCGGCUAACUCCGUGCCAGCAGCCGCGGUAAUACGGAGGGUGCAAGCGUUAAUCGGAAUUACUGGGCGUAAAGCGCACGCAGGCGGUUUGUUAAGUCAGAUGUGAAAUCCCCGGGCUCAACCUGGGAACUGCAUCUGAUACUGGCAAGCUUGAGUCUCGUAGAGGGGGGUAGAAUUCCAGGUGUAGCGGUGAAAUGCGUAGAGAUCUGGAGGAAUACCGGUGGCGAAGGCGGCCCCCUGGACGAAGACUGACGCUCAGGUGCGAAAGCGUGGGGAGCAAACAGGAUUAGAUACCCUGGUAGUCCACGCCGUAAACGAUGUCGACUUGGAGGUUGUGCCCUUGAGGCGUGGCUUCCGGAGCUAACGCGUUAAGUCGACCGCCUGGGGAGUACGGCCGCAAGGUUAAAACUCAAAUGAAUUGACGGGGGCCCGCACAAGCGGUGGAGCAUGUGGUUUAAUUCGAUGCAACGCGAAGAACCUUACCUGGUCUUGACAUCCACAGAACUUUCCAGAGAUGGAUUGGUGCCUUCGGGAACUGUGAGACAGGUGCUGCAUGGCUGUCGUCAGCUCGUGUUGUGAAAUGUUGGGUUAAGUCCCGCAACGAGCGCAACCCUUAUCCUUUGUUGCCAGCGGUCCGGCCGGGAACUCAAAGGAGACUGCCAGUGAUAAACUGGAGGAAGGUGGGGAU